UACGUAGGGUGCAAGCGUUGUCCGGAAUUAUUGGGCGUAAAGAGCGUGUAGGCGGCCCGGUAAGUCCGCCGUGAAAGUCCAGGGCUCAACCCUGGGAUGCCGGUGGAAACUGUCGGGCUCGAGUCCGGAAGAGGCGAGUGGAAUUCCUGGUGUAGCGGUGAAAUGCGCAGAUAUCAGGAAGAACACCCGUGGCGAAGGCGGUUCUCUGGGACGGUACUGACGCUGAGACGCGAAAGCGUGGGGAGCGAACAGG
rnacentral:rRNA from 1 species